CAGAGGAGGCCAAUCAGACCUCAGUUCUCCUCUGGUCUCCGACAAGAAUCCACAUUGUGGAUUUGCAGAGAGGUACCAUGAAGUAGCCGUCCAGUGGUUCUGUUUUAGAACCCGGGGUUCAGGCAGAGGAAGAGGACCACACCUUGCCUGAUGAAGAGGUGCCAAUUGUGUGGCAUUUUCCCAUGUUGGAAGAAGAUCCCGGCCCCAGACUUCCUAUGUGCUGAAUGCCGGUCCUACCUUGGGCUGAUGACAUGCAAAGCAAACUCCAGUGGGAUUUCUUGACAGAGCCUUAUCUUGGGAAGGAGAAGCCAUCCAGAGUUCCAGGAGCUGGGUUUCAUUGUUAUCCCUCCUGGACCAGGAGCCACCUACCAGGUCUCUCCAUAGGUCCUUUGCGGGAUUCUUUCUAAAGCACAUUUGCUUGCUCUGCCGUCUUGCCUGAGUGAAGAACCGCCAUCGUGAACAGAAUUGAAUUCCUGGAGGAGGGCGGCUGGCUCCAGUUCCGCCAGGUCUGGAGAGCAACGCUGAGACCAGCAGGUGGAGACCGUGGGGAGCCUAACAUCCUAAUGUCAGCUCGCCUCGGGGAGCACUUUCCCCCAUGGGAAGCUCACCAAGAACAGAAAUACCAGCUUGCCUUGGGAGCUUUGAGGCCAGAGCCAGAUAAAGCAGGAACUCGAUACGUGUUUGUUUUCUGACUGAUUGUGAAGGAGACUUCAAGAGCAUAAGGUACAGGAUUACUGGUAGCAGUGACAUCCACCCUGCGCAGUUCCCAUGGGAAAUGAAGUCACUCCCUUUUCUAAGUCCUGCCUAGGGAAUGAGAGGCUCUGUGGGAAAGUCUACAGCCGUGGCACUGCCAACAUGAGUUUAUCUAUCAAGAGGAAGCUCAGACAUUCCCAGUGGCAUCUUUGCAGGAUGAAGGACUUCAAGAGGCUCAGAUGCUGCUGUUGCUGCCUCUCUCAUUACAGGCUGAACUCAAGACAGGCCUGUGAGGCCCCCAACAGGAGCCAAGAUGAGUUUUAAACACAAAAGAGGUGGCUUCCUCUUUUGUCACUCUGGAGAGUGACAGAUGUCACACAUGCCAAGUGUCCUGUGCAGGUUUCCAUUCUCAUUCAUACUCCCAAGGCUGUUCAUUUCCUUCCCAGCCAACUGCCCUCUGUCCUUUAUGCUCCUUUCCAUUUGUCACCCCAUGUGCCCUUGGCACAUUCUUACGGUCACUGAGGAAACAGCAGCCUUCCCUGAUUAUAGUAUGGAAAAGCCAAUCCUGACAAUUACAGAAAGUGGUACUGACAGUGAAAAGGAGAAGAGUUAUUGCAUGGUGAGUGUUUGACACCUUCCUGGAGCCCACCUCUCUGAAAAGGAGGAUCACUGACUCGUGUGGCCAAUGGCAGACACUGUUCAUUUUCUCUCUACUUCAAGUCUCUCCUCUGAGUCUACUAUAAAAAUACCACCAAAUUUUAAAUGGGCACAGAACCACUUGGAAUAAAGACCACAUUUCCCAGUCUCUUCUGAGACCAAGUAUGGCCACGUGACCACACUCUGGUCAUGAGAUCCAAGCAGAAGUGGUUUGUUCAACUCCUUUGUUUUCUUUUUUUUUUCAUAUAUAUAUAUUUUUUUGGUACCAGGGAUCGAACUCAGGUCCUUGCGCUUGCGCAGGAGGCGGCGAAACCACUGAGCUAAAUCCCUGGCUCCUUUUUUCAUAUUUUUAAAACAUGGAACUACAUUUGUCCCUCAGUGUCUAUGGGGGGAAUGGUGUUCCAGAACACCUGCCCACCUCAGAGAUACCAAAAUUCACAGAUGCUUGUGUCCUUUCUAUAAAGUGGUGUAGUAUUUGCAUAGCUUAUAUAUAUCCUCCCUGUGUGCUUUAAAUAAUCUCUAAUGACUUAUAGAACUUAAUACAAUGUAAAGCCAUAUAAUAGUUGUUAUACUGUAUUAUUUAGGGAAUAAUAACAAGAAAAAUGUACAUAUUGAGUACAGAUGAAAUUUUAAAAAAUCAAUAUGUAUGCUGGGGAUUGCACCCAGGCAUAGUAGGCAAGGAUUCUGACUACUGAGUUACAACCCCAUGCAUUUUAAGUUUAAUUUAAUUAAUUUAUUUUAUUGGUAUGUUUGCAGUACAUGAUAUUUAUGUUCAUUUUGGAGUAUUUUCAUUCUCUUAGAAAAGUGAUUGCUGAAUUAGUGGGUAGAAGUAUGUUUAACUUUGUAAGACAUUGCCAAAGAGUUUUCUUAAGUGGCUGUCCUAUUUUACGCACUAUCAGCAACAUGCAAGAGUUUCAGUUGCUUUGUGUCCUUACUGACAUUUAAUAUUAUUGGUCUUUCUAAUUUUAUAUACUCUAGUGGAUGUAUAUUGACAUCUUAUUGGUAUAUAUUGCAGUUUUCAUUUCCAUUUCUCAGUUGACUGUUGACUAGUGAUGUUCAACAUUUUCAUGUGCUUAUUGCCAUUCAUAUUCUUACAUGUGGUGUCUGUUUAAAUGUUUGCUCAUUGUAAAAUUGGGCUGCUUGUGGUUUUCAAAAAGCUUUUUUAUUGAGUCAUAAUUUACAUGUCACAUGACACAUUUCUAAGUAUGGAAUCCAGAGUUUUCACAGAUUCAUAUGCCUGUUUAACCACCACCUUGAACAGCAUAGACAUUUCUCUUAUUUCCAAAGGUGCUCUAAAUGACUCUUCGGAGCCAAUCUUCAUCUUUUUGUUUUGACUCCUGACUUCAACCAGCCACUGAUGUGUUUUUGUCAUUAUAAUUUUGCCUUUUGUAGAAUUUCUCAUAAAUAGAAUUAUAUAGUAUGUAUUCUUUUGUAUCUAGCUUUUCCACUUAACAUAUUGUUUUUGAGAUCUAUCCACAUAAUUGUGUGUAUCACUAAUGGUUUAUUUUAAUAGGUAACAUUUCAUUAUAUGGAAGUGCUACAAUGUAAUUAUUCAUCUGUUAGCUGAUAAAUGGCACAAAUGGUGGGUUGGUUCCAGUUUGGAUUUAUU
ensembl:lncRNA